rnacentral:rRNA from 1 species
AUACGGAGGGUGCGAGCGUUAAUCGGAAUUACUGGGCGUAAAGCGCGCGUAGGCGGUUUGGUCAGUCAGAUGUGAAAGCCCUGGGCUCAACCUGGGAACUGCAUUUGAUACUGCCAGGCUAGAGUAUGGUAGAGGGAAGUGGAAUUCCGGGUGUAGCGGUGAAAUGCGUAGAUAUCCGGAGGAACACCAGUGGCGAAGGCGACUUCCUGGACCAAUACUGACGCUGAGGUGCGAAAGCGUGGGUAGCAAACAGGAUUAGAUACCCUUGUAGUCC